UUUAUUUCUAAUAAAAUAGCUCUGAGUGGUUAAAUGAUGCUUUUGUUGAUGCUUUUUAAAAUAGUUAGCAUUACUCUUCCUACAGAUCCAGGUUAGAUUGGACAAAGAGCUUCAAAGACUGAGAAACAUUCAUGUCAAAGCUGUGAGAGGCUGGAAUGGCCAAGGAGAAGUUUAGGAGCCAAACUUCACCAAGAUUUCCCAGCAGAAUCAACUCAUCCAGUCCCAGGAGUCACACCAGUGGCAGGAUAGGCAAGGGAAAAAACAAUUUUUUAUUUUAAUAGAUACAGCCUCCCCUUUUCAGGUAAAUAAAACUUCAAUAUUUCCCUCCCAGCACUUUUUCCAACACUAACAUGGAAGCAAGGCAGCACAUUCCAUCCAAAUACCCUCCCUACUCCACUGGACAGAGUCUGCAGCAGCAAAAGCUCCAUCCAAAAAUCCCUGCAUGGAAAGGAGGUUAAACUCACACAAUCUCCACCUCAGAGGGGUGAGUGAGGGGAAAGGGGAGGAAUAGGAAGACUGUCACUCUCAUUGGCUGGAGGUUUAAUCAAAAUAAUUGUUUUCAGCCCCAUCUAAAUUUAUCCUCCUAUGUCAUCUGCACCCUAGCUUGGAUCCCAGAUUUAAGAGGCAAUCCCUGAUGAAUGGCAAAUUACUGACUGCAGAACUCUUUUUGCCAAACGAUGCAUCUGCCGUGGCUGCUCUGGUAUUCCAUGUUCCUGCUCUGCCGUGCACAGCUCGUGGUACAAGGCAUAACCAUGAUGAUUGUGUGGUUUUAUCCCCGUUUUCCACAAAGUCAUGUGGGAAAUGUAGGAUUUUUAGGGCACAUUGAACAAUUCUGGCCAUCUAGGGCAAAGCAGAUUAUCACUAUUCCACGGCUUCUAAAAAUUCUUGCUUUAGAUGAAGACAUAUUGGAAAUGUCAAGUGUUUGUUCAUUUUCAUUCUGUGGGGAAGGAAAAAUGAUGACAAUGCCAUCUGGUAAAUGAUUUGAAACUCCACAUUAAAGCAUGGAAUAAACCCUGAAACCAUUCAAAAAACUGCUUUAUCACUGCAAAGUGGGAGCAACGGGUGAGAAUGACGAAAGGAGGAACUGCAGUUCCUGCUUGCAACUGGCAGAACACUCUGGAAUUAGGAAGUUGACUUUUCCUGACAAGAAGGAGAGUGCAGUGGAUGUUUAAUGGUCUGAAUGGUCUCUCUGUAAAUGCAUUUCUGUACCAGAGUCAUCCUGUGGCAUCACUGCCCUUCUGAGCAUCACGCUGAGGUUAUGGAUCUAAAAAACAUGAUGGGGGCAAGAUGGCAUUGAAAUU